CAUCGUUAUCCACUGGGGCCUGUACUUCAAAGCAGGAUUUGGAGUUAGCGAGGUAACUUCAGGGUUAACUCAGGGUUUUCCAUCCUACGACAGUGGUUCACUUCUUACCGGGGUAGAUCGCCACGGUAACUUAUGCUGAACAGCUAACCUGCCCCGCAGCAGGGCAUGUUCCAGAUAAGAGAUCAACUCGUAUAAAAG